rnacentral:lncRNA from 1 species
GCUCUAAUAACAAAAAAUGAAAUCUGCCACACUCUAAUGCAUCUGCUGUGGCAUAAGGCUCCAUUAAAGGAGUUCGAAGCUUGAGUUUAAAAUUUUGGGUUUGCGAAAUUAGAUUCAGGUGUGAUUAGGUGUCUUGACAAAUAAUUGGGGUUACCUUUGGGAGUUAAUAUCUCGAAUUUGAAGCGAUUUGGAGAAGAUUUUGUGUGGUUUUGAGCGAGAUUCCAGCCGCAACACAAAGCUAAGUUCGAAAUUUUCAUAUCUGCAAUUUUCUUGCGCACUGUUUUGUGUCAAUUGUACUUUCUUGAUUUGAGUAUUUUAUUUUGAAGUAUGUUGUUUUUGAAUCUUUAUUGCACAAGUAGCAAAGUAGCAGUUCUUCCGUCUUGGGGGCUCUUCGCCGGCACCGGCGAUAAGAAAUUGAAACGGGAUACUUUACGUCCGUUGAGUCAUGAAAGGAUUAACGUGUGGGGAUUCUGCCGUUCUUCCGUUUUGGGGGCUCUGUUUGGCGCUGGUUCAAGUGAAAAUAGAGUGCCAAAGGUUUAGGGAUUCUGUUGUUCUGUCGUGCUAUAAACCGAACAAGCUCAAUCUUCCGUUUUGG